rnacentral:rRNA from 1 species
UACGUAGGGGGCAAGCGUUGUCCGGAAUCACUGGGCGUAAAGCGCGCGCAGGCGGUCAUCUACGUCUGGGGUGAAAGCCCGGAGCUCAACUCCGGGAUUGCCUUGGAUACGGGAUGACUUGAGGAUCGGAGAGGCAAGGGGAAUUCCACGUGUAGCGGUGAAAUGCGUAGAUAUCGUAAGGAAGACCAGUGGCGAAGGCGGGUCUCUGGACAGUUCCUGACGCUGAGGCACGAAGGUCAGGGGAGCAAACGGG